rnacentral:rRNA from 1 species
AACGGUAAAGUUACCAUCAGCAUUUAUUUAAUCUUGUCUGACCUCAAGAGCAAAGCAGGAUCAGAUCUAGUUGGUACUUGGAUGUCAGACCACCUGUGAGUAAGCAGAUACUAUAGUUU